rnacentral:SRP_RNA from 1 species
UGUGCUAGAUGGGGAAUUAGCGGUUCCCUGUAACCUGAAAACCGCUUAUGCAGGGUUGAAUUCCGAUGGGCGGGUUUUGCUGAGAUUGAUUUUUAAUAUAAGUAGUGUUGAUCCUUUUAGCUUUACGCAAUAGUGUAUACUUGAACUCCGUCAGGUCUGGGAAGAAGCAGCGGUAUAGUUUAUUUCUAUGUGCCGUAAAACCCUGAAAGUGAGCUGGC